rnacentral:rRNA from 1 species
UACGUAGGGUGCAAGCGUUGUCCGGAAUCAUUGGGCGUAAAGCGCGCGUAGGUGGCUUCGUAAGUCCGUUGUGAAAGUCAAAGGCUCAACCUUUGAAUGCCGAUGGAUACUGCGAAGCUAGAGUACGGAAGAGGCGAGUGGAAUUCCGAGUGUAGAGGUGAAAUUCGUAGAUAUUCGGAAGAACACCAGUGGCGAAGGCGGCUCACUGGACCGUUGUUGACGCUGAGGUGCGAAAGCGUGGGGAGCAAACAGG